rnacentral:rRNA from 1 species
AAAGAGUGGCGAACGGGUGAGUAACACGUGGGAAACCUACCUCUUAGCAGGGGAUAACAUUUGGAAACAGAUGCUAAUACCGUAUAACAAUAGCAACCGCAUGGUUGCUACUUAAAAGAUGGUUCUGCUAUCACUAAGAGAUGGUCCCGCGGUGCAUUAGUUAGUUGGUGAGGUAAUGGCUCACCAAGACGAUGAUGCAUAGCCGAGUUGAGAGACUGAUCGGCCACAAUGGGACUGAGACACGGCCCAUACUCCUACGGGAGGCAGCAGUAGGGAAUCUUCCACAAUGGGCGAAAGCCUGAUGGAGCAACGCCGCGUGUGUGAUGAAGGGUUUCGGCUCGUAAAACACUGUUGUAAGAGAAGAAUGACAUUGAGAGUAACUGUUCAAUGUGUGACGGUAUCUUACCAGAAAGGAACGGCUAAAUACGUGCCAGCAGCCGCGGUAAUACGUAUGUUCCAAGCGUUAUCCGGAUUUAUUGGGCGUAAAGCGAGCGCAGACGGUUAUUUAAGUCUGAAGUGAAAGCCCUCAGCUCAACUGAGGAAUUGC